UACGUAGGGGGCAAGCGUUAUCCGGAUUUAUUGGGCGUAAAGAGAACGCAGGCGGUCUUUUAAGUCUGAUGUGAAAGCCUUCGGCUUAACCGGAGUAGUGCAUUGGAAACUGGGAGACUUGAGAGCAGAAGAGGAGAGUGGAACUCCAUGUGUAGCGGUGAAAUGCGUAGAUAUAUGGAAGAACACCAGUGGCGAAAGCGGCUCUCUGGUCUGUAACUGACGCUGAGGUUCGAAAGCGUGGGUAGCAAACAGG
rnacentral:rRNA from 1 species